GGCAUCUUCCUUCGCGAACAACAACUCGUCGAUGAUGUUGCGCUUUGGCGACUUGUGGCUUAUUUACUACCUGGGACCACAUGGACGAUUUGAGAGCCCAUAAAAAGCACGGAGAAUGAGGGGGAUGGGAUCCAUCCUUUUGCUCGAAGUCAAGUCGACUGAGAUGACAUAUCUGAGGAACUUGGUCAAUGAUGAGUGCAAGUUCGAGGAAUAUCUUUGAGCUCUUCUGUCAUAUUCUCUGUUUCACCUCUAUCUCAUUGGUAGGCUCAAGUUUCAUUAUUUGGCUUGCAAUCUUUAUUUAGGAGUUAGGUGCAAGUGUUUAUAUUGUCUGAAGGGGACGCGAAUGACUGU
rnacentral:sRNA from 2 species